rnacentral:rRNA from 1 species
CGAAAGUCUGACGGAGCAACGCCGCGUGAGGGAUGAAGGCCUCUGGGCUGUAAACCUCUUUUCUCAAGGAAGAAGAUCUGACGGUACUUGAGGAACAAGCCACGGCUAAUUCCGUGCCAGCAGCCGCGGUAAUACGGGAGUGGCAAGCGUUAUCCGGAAUUAUUGGGCGUAAAGCGUCCGCAGGCGGCCUUGUAAGUCUGUCGUUAAAGCGUGGAGCUUAACUCCAUUUCAGCGAUGGAAACUACAAGGCUUGAGUGUGGUAGGGGCAGAGGGGAUUCCCGGUGUAGCGGUGAAAUGCGUAGAUAUCGGGAAGGACACCAGUGGCGAAGGCGCUCUGCUGGGCCAUAACUGACGCUCAUGGACGAAAGCCAGGGGAGCG